GACGAACGCUGGCGGCGUGCUUAACACAUGCAAGUCGAACGGAAAGGCCCUGCUUUUGUGGGGUGCUCGAGUGGCGAACGGGUGAGUAACACGUGAGUAACCUGCCCUUGACUUUGGGAUAACUUCAGGAAACUGGGGCUAAUACCGGAUAGGAGCUCCUGCUGCAUGGUGGGGGUUGGAAAGUUUCGGCGGUUGGGGAUGGACUCGCGGCUUAUCAGCUUGUUGGUGGGGUAGUGGCUUACCAAGGCUUUGACGGGUAGCCGGCCUGAGAGGGUGACCGGCCACAUUGGGACUGGGAUACGGCCCAGACUCCUACGGGAGGCAGCAGUGGGGAAUAUUGCACAAUGGGCGGAAGCCUGAUGCAGCAACGCCGCGUGCGGGAUGACGGCCUUCGGGUUGUAAACCGCUUUCGCCUGUGACGAAGCGUGAGUGAGGGUAAUGGGUAAAGAAGCACCGGCUAACUACGUG
rnacentral:rRNA from 1 species